rnacentral:rRNA from 1 species
UACGUAGGGCGCAAGCGUUGUCCGGAUUUAUUGGGCGUAAAGAGCGUGUAGGCGGCCUGACAGGUCUGCUGUGAAAACUCGAGGCUCAACCUCGAGAUGUCGGCGGAAACCGUCUGGCUAGAGUCCGGAAGAGGAGAGUGGAAUUCCUGGUGUAGCGGUGAAAUGCGCAGAUAUCAGGAAGAACACCUAUGGCGAAGGCAGCUCUCUGGGACGGUACUGACGCUGAGACGCGAAAGCGUGGGGAGCGAACAGG